rnacentral:rRNA from 1 species
UACGGAGGGUGCAAGCGUUAUCCGGAUUCACUGGGUUUAAAGGGUGCGUAGGUGGGUCUGUAAGUCCGUGGUGAAAUCUCCGAGCUUAACUUGGAAACUGCCAUGGAUACUAUAGGUCUUGAAUAUUGUGGAGGUCAGCGGAAUAUGUCAUGUAGCGGUGAAAUGCUUAGAUAUGACAUAGAACACCAAUUGCGAAGGCAGCUGGCUACGCAUAUAUUGACACUGAGGCACGAAAGCGUGGGGGAUCAAACAGG